rnacentral:hammerhead_ribozyme from 1 species
AUCCAGCUGACGAGUUUGAAAUAGGACGAAACACGCGUCCUGGAC